rnacentral:rRNA from 1 species
AUGAAAAUCCUCAGCUGGAACUGUCGGGGGCUGGGACAACCCCGAACAGUUCAAGAGCUAGUGUGCUUGGUGAGCACACAUCAUCCGUCGAUCGUCUUUCUUUCUGAAACUAGGCAAAAUAAAGAGCGGGUUAGCAGUCUUAGGUGGAGGGUAGGCCUUAAGAACUGCAUGCUACAUGAUGGUAUAGGGAAAGGAGCAGGAAUUGCUCUGUACUGGGAUGAAUCAGUUGAAAUAAAAAAGUUGUCAGUUGGCCCGCGCUAUAUUGAUGUGUUAAUUUGUAAUAACCCAAAUGAGAAAUGGUGGAGGGGCACCUUUGUGUAUGGGGAACCAAAGGCACACGAGAGAGUCCAUAUGUGGAACCUCUUGAGGAGAAUUAGGUUUAACUCUCAUGCACCAGCUUGCAAUUGGGAUUUCAAUGAAACAAUUUGGCAGACCGAGCACUUCUCUGUAUCUAAGAGGUCAGAGAGAAAUAUGGCCGCAUUCAGAGAGGUGCUUGACUGGUGCAAUCUGCAAGAUCUGGGAUACCGGGGCCCCGGCUGGACAUAUGACAAUAAACAGGAAGGUAGAAACAGUGUCAAGGCGAGGUUGGACAGGGCAGUAGUCACACCAUGUUGGAGCAAUCGUUUUCAGAAUGCGCAUGUCGAGCACAUUUGCUCUACCAGGUCUGAUUACCUGCCGGUGUUGCUCUGCUUUGGAAAG